UUGAUGAGAAAGUGGGCAGAUCGGCUCUAUUCACAGCUGGGGGAAACUGACCACUUUAACAAAAGGAAGAAUGCUCAGGUAACAUCUAGCCCAAAGGUCGCUCAGGAAUGUUCAAAGCACUCAGGAGAGAGUGAAGUAUCCCAUCUUUGGGACACACAAGUCCCACUCAGCAUCCAUUGAAAGCGCAGCACCAAAAGCAUUGAGAUGGUGGCAGGACCUCAUUUUCCCUCUUCUCUAUUCCCUUACUCUUUCUCCAGCACAGAAGAAGCCUUGAUAAUGACAAGCUCUGUUGGAACAAAGUCACCUUAAAUUCACACAACUCUUGGUGCCAGACCCUGACAGCAGC
rnacentral:lncRNA from 1 species